rnacentral:rRNA from 1 species
CCUACGGGCGGCAGCAGUGGGGAAUAUUGCGCAAUGGGCGAAAGCCUGACGCAGCGACGCCGCGUGAGGGAUGAAGGUCUUCGGAUCGUAAACCUCUGUCAGCAGGGAAGAACGGUCACUGUGCUAAUCAGCAGUGAAUUGACGGUACCUGCAAAGGAAGCACCGGCGAACUCCGUGCCAGCAGCCGCGGUAAUACGGAGGGGGUGAGCGGUAAUCGGAGUUACUGGGCGGAAAGGGAUGGGAGGCGGGGAGUCAAGUCAGGGGGGAAAUCCACUGGCCGAACGGGGGGACUGACUUUGAAAGUGGUGUAGGUGAGGACUGGAGAGGGAGACGGAAGUACGAG